rnacentral:siRNA from 1 species
GACACUUUGGCCGAGUGGUUA